GGCAGUUAAAGUUUUUUUGGAGAACGCUCCUGAUGCUAAAGAGGAGUGCAAGAUUUAUGGAGAAAGCAUAUUGCUGUACAAAAAUUUUCUUGACAGAGUAUUAUGCAUGAUUGAGAAAUCCUCGAGUCUAGGUAUACUUGCUAUGUCCAUUAAUCUAAUUUUUUUUUUUAUAGUUUAAGAUAGCACAAAAUACUUUGUCAUCCAGCUUAUUAUGCAUUUACAUUAUAGUGGCCUUUUCAAUAUCUGUUGCUAUUUACAUAUACUUUUGCAUGUUCUUUCUAUCUAAUUUGCUUACUUGUUUGGUAUUACCUUCAUCUUUUAAAUAGAGUCAAGCUAUUCCCAAAAGUCCUGUCAGACCUCUCUGACCAUAACACUCAACCUAGCCAAAAAGGUUGAGAACUGGAUUGCAUCGUUU
rnacentral:lncRNA from 1 species